AUUCUUUGCUGGCUUCAAAUCCGAGACAGGAGUCCCCACCCAGGCAUCGUUCUAGUGCUUGUAUAAAUUAAUGGGAUUUAAAAAUAUUUAUCUUCUUAUGAGCAAACACCUACGUGAUACUAGGACUAGAAGAAACCCAGGGCGAUUUUCUAGUGGAAGCAAAAGCUACAUCUAUCAGCGCCCAGGUAGCUUUUCAAAGUAGGUGUUCGGUCAAUCACCUCCGGUGUUUGGACUUAGUAAAACGAUUUAAGAGUUUUAUCCACCUACCCUUGAGUUAGUUUUAACAACCCCAGAGAUUUUUCUGUCUUUCUCUUCCC
rnacentral:lncRNA from 1 species